CCUACGGGCGGCAGCAGUGGGGGAUAUUGGACAAUGGGGGAAACCCUGAUCCAGCGACGCCGCGUGAGUGAAGAAGUAUUUCGGUAUGUAAAGCUCUAUCAGCAGGGAAGAAAGAAAUGACGGUACCUGAGUAAGAAGCCCCGGCUAACUACGUGCCAGCAGCCGCGGUAAUACGUAGGGGGCAAGCGUUAUCCGGAAUUACUGGGUGUAAAGGGAGCGUAGACGGUAAUGCAAGUCUGGAGUGAAAGGCGGGGGCCCAACCCCCGGACUGCUCUGGAAACUGUGUAACUGGAGUGCAGGAGGGGCAGGCGGAGUUCCUUGUGUAGCGGUGACAUGCGUAGAUAUUAGGGGGAACACCAGUGGCGGAGGCGGCCUGCUGGACUGUAGCUGACGUUGGGGCUCGAGAGCGUGGGGAGCAAACGAGCUUAGAUACCCUUGGUC
rnacentral:rRNA from 1 species